UGGUGAAGCUCGUGUUUUAUAUCUUGCCAGGUGGAUUUGGAGAUGAUCUGAAUCUGAAUUAUAUUGUGGGCAUGUUCUUGUUCAGGUGGCUGACAUUUCUGAUGAAUUGGGGAAGAAGCGUCGUCAGUGUGUUAUAUCCGGGGAAAAAGAGCAUGAAAAAGCUGAGAAAAUACAGCUAUCACAUCAACUACUCAACCACUGCAGAUAAAGAUAGUUACAAGUGCAUAUCUGUAGCAGAAACUAUCGCUUAAGACUGUGUUUUGGAGACUGCGAUGAAAGGCCAACAGUUUCAGCACAGAAACUUGUUGCUACAUGGUU